GUAAGAAGCACUCGUCAGGCCCAAACAGUGCCAGCACAAGGUGAACAACUGGCCGCAUCAUUUAUGUUUCCGAUAACUACAUGGUAAAAAGAGCAGCGUAGCUACGACUGGGUGGAGCUUGGCUCUGACUGCAGGGGAUUCCUCAGCUGUAAAACUUACGUCACAACCAGUAUUUAAGCCGGCACCGCUAUCUAUAGUUCAAACCUGUUCCUUCUUGACAAGCCACAACCACAGAGCUUCGCAAGCGCAAACAGGAAGAGAACCAACUGGGACUAUAAAGCAAAUUUCUUCUCUUCUCCCUCACAGACAGAAGCAUUAUGGCAAUGGUUCCCCACGAUCUGAGCACUGUUGUUGUUCACUGUGCUCUCGAGCUUCGCCAGGCUGGAGACGAGCUCUACUGGAGAUACAAGCUGCUUGAAAUACUGAUCAGGAACUACAAGACUAUGACUAAGAUCAGAUGAGACAUGGAGUCGGUGGACGUCAACGUGAAUCGGAUAUUGCUCGACUCAAAUUCUAUCCGGAGAAACUUCUCGGAUACAAAAUAACCCCGGGUGGCAAAAUGGUGGCCCUUAAGUGGGAUGUACAUACGCUUGUGGACACGCCCCAACCGGCUUGCCGUUCGGUUGACCCGUGUCCUGUACAGGAGCUGAGCCCAGCUGUGUGGAAUGCUGCUGAACCAGAGGCACUCACACAUUCAGCCUGGACCAGGGAGGAACCUCUAGAUGCAAGUUAACCACUGCAGAUUGUCACAUGUCCUCUGUACACGUGACUGUAUAUGGCGUCUCUCAUGCAUGUCAUGCACUCUGACACUGUCACAUCAUGUUCACUGUGACUUGAGCAUAUGUUUUAGAUGUUGAUCUUCGGGGAAGUGUUUCAUGAGCUUCUAAUAAAUAUAUGAAAAUCA